rnacentral:rRNA from 1 species
AUUGAACGCUGGCGGCAGGCCUAACACAUGCAAGUCGAACGGUAACAGGAAACAGCUUGCUGUUUCGCUGACGAGUGGCGGACGGGUGAGUAAUGUCUGGGAAACUGCCUGAUGGAGGGGGAUAACUACUGGAAACGGUAGCUAAUACCGCAUAACGUCGCAAGACCAAAGAGGGGGACCCUCGGGCCUCUUGCCAUCGGAUGUGCCCAGAUGGGAAUAGCUUGUUGGUGGGGUAACGGCUCACCAAGGCGACGAUCCCUAGCUGGUCUGAGAGGAUGACCAGCCACACUGGAACUGAGACACGGUCCAGACUCCUACGGGAGGCAGCAGUGGGGAAUAUUGCACAAUGGGCGCAAGCCUGAUGCAGCCAUGCCGCGUGUAUGAAGAAGGCCUUCGGGUUGUAAAGUACUUUCAGCGGGGAGGAAGGGAGUAAAGUUAAUACCUUUGCUCAUUGACGUUACCCGCAGAAGAAGCACCGGCUAACUCCGUG